AGAGGGAUUCGAACCCUCGAUAGUUCA
rnacentral:tRNA from 1 species